UUACAUUUUUCUCUUGUUGUUCUUUCUUCUUCGCAUUUUUCUAACCCCUUUGUUUUGUAUAUGAAUCAAAAUGAAGGGUAGAAAGGAUUGGGACCUCUUUAGUACUAACAAACAAACAAAAAGCCAC
rnacentral:ribozyme from 1 species